rnacentral:tRNA from 1 species
GUCUUAAUAGUUUAUAAAAAAAAUACCAACAUGUGGGGUUGGAGAAGAUCCAUUUUUUAAGACA